rnacentral:rRNA from 1 species
GCCGAAAAUCUAGCCUCCCCAAAUCAUAUGAUCACCUUAAAAAUUAUCCCGUAUUUACUAAAACAUUUAUAAUAUCUAGUAAAGGCGAUUAAAAAAUAAAUUAGAGCAAUAACAAUAGUACCGCAAGGAAAAGAUGAAAUAAAAAUGAAACAAAUUUUAAGCAAAAAAAAGUAAAGAUAUACUCUUGUACCUUUUGCAUCAUGGUUCAACUAGUCUAACCAAGCAAAAAGAACUAUAGUUUGACCCCCCGAAACUAGACGAGCUACUUCGAGGCAGCUUAAUGAGCGAACCCGUCUCUGUUGCAAAAGAGUGGGAUGACCCCCAAGUAGCGGUGACAGACCUAACGAGUCUAGUAAUAGCUGGUUACUUAAGAAAAGGAUUUUAGUCCCGCCUAAUGCAUCCUAAGUCAUCUUAAACAAGAACUAUGCUUUAGAGUUAUUCAAACAAGGUACAGCCUGUUUGAAAUAAGGAUACAACCUACACUAACGGGUAAUAUAUCUGCAACGCAAACAAGUAGGCCUAAUAGCAGCCACCUUUAAAAUAGCGUCAAAGCUUAUCUGCACAAAACCUUAAUACCUAAAUACCUUUAAAACCCUUUACUUUUAUUAAGUUAUUCUAUAAUUAUAUAGAAGUUAUUAUGUUGAAACUAGUAAUAAGAAGAGGACCUUCUCUAAAAUGCAACUGUAAAUCAGAAAGGACAAACCACUGAUAAUUAAUCAUCAAUGAAAACAAAACAGCAACUUUCCAAGAAAACCCUGCUUUAUUCAAUGUUAAACUAACACAAGAGCAUUUCAAGAAAGAUUAAAAGAAAAAGAAGGAACUCGGCAAACAUUAACCUCGCCUGUUUACCAAAAACAUCGCCUCUAGAAUAAAUAUAAGAGGUCCAGCCUGCCCAGUGACUUAGUUCAACGGCCGCGGUAUCCUAACCGUGCGAAGGUAGCGUAAUCACUUGUUCUUUAAAUAAGGACUAGUAUGAAUGGCACCACGAGGGUUAUGCUGUCUCCUUUUUCUAAUCAAUGAAACUAAUCUCCCCGUGAAGAAGCGGGGAUCAUAAUAUAAGACGAGAAGACCCUAUGGAGCUUUAAACUAUAUAGCACCAGCUUAUGUAUUCAAAAAUUUCAGAAUCAUAACAAUAACUCUAGCUCCCAUGACUACUAGUUUUAGAUUGGGGUGAUCGCGGAGUAAAAAUUAACCUCCACAUUGAACGGGGUAUGACCCCCUGAGCAAAAAGCUACAACUUUAAGCACCAAUAAAUUAACAUUAAUUGACCCAAUAUUUUGAUCAACGAACCAAGUUACCCUAGGGAUAACAGCGCAAUCCACUUAAAGAGCCCCUAUCGACAAGUGGGUUUACGACCUCGAUGUUGGAUCAGGGUAUCCCAGUGGUGCAGCCGCUACUAAAGGUUCGUUUGUUCAACGAUUAAAACCCU